rnacentral:rRNA from 1 species
CCUACGGGAGGCAGCAGUAGGGAAUAUUGCUCAAUGGGGGAAACCCUGAAGCAGCAACGCCGCGUGGAGGAUGACGGUUUUCGGAUUGUAAACUCCUUUUGUUAGAGAAGAUAAUGACGGUAUCUAACGAAUAAGCACCGGCUAACUCCGUGCCAGCAGCCGCGGUAAUACGGAGGGUGCCAGCGUUACUCGGAAUCACUGGGCGGAAAGAGCGCGUAGGCGGGAUAGCAAGUCAGAUGUGAAAACCUAUGGCUUAACCAUAGAACUGCAUUUGAAACUGUUAUUCUAGAGUAUGGGAGAGGUAGGUGGAAUUCUUGGUGUAGGGGUAAAAUCCGUAGAGAUCAAGAGGAAUACUCAUUGCGAAGGCGACCUGCUAGAACAUAACUGACGCUGAUGCGCGAAAGCGUGGGGAGCAAACAGGAUUAGAUACCCUAGUAGUC